rnacentral:RNase_MRP_RNA from 1 species
GGAUGUUCUGAAGACCUGCUCGCUAGGCCACGCACGGAGGACGCUGGUUCCUCACGGGCCCCGCGCCCGCCUAGGGGAAAGUCCCCGGACCGCCGGCAGAGAGUGCCGGGCGCUGCCGCGCCCCCGCCUGCCCCGCAGAUCACUGUGUCACCGCCGAGACGCCCCCGGGCCGAGCGGGUGAGGGCGGGGCGGGCUCUCGUCACGGCCACAGACACGCAGGUAGUGCGCAGGCGCACCAACAGAACGGGGCUCACUCUCAGGCCAUC